UUGCCCUAGUACGGCGAGUGAAGCGGCAACAGCUCAAAUUUGAAGCUAGCCUUCGGGUUCGCAUUGUAAUUUGUGAGAGGAUGAGUUUGGGGAAGCCGCCUGUCUAAGUUCCUUGGAACAGGACGUCAUAGAGGGUGAGAAUCCCGUAUGUGACAGGAAAUGGCACCCUAUGUAAAUCUCCUUCGACGAGUCGAGUUGUUUGGGAAUGCAGCUCUAAAUGGGAGGUAAAUUUCUUCUAAAGCUAAAUAUUGGCGAGAGACCGAUAGCGCACAAGUAGAGUGAUCGAAAGAUGAAAAGCACUUUGGAAAGAGAGUUAAAAAGCACGUGAAAUUGUUGAAAGGGAAGCGCUUGCAAUCAGACUUGUUUAAACUGUUCGGCCGGUCUUCUGACCGGUUUACUCAGUUUGGACAGGCCAGCAUCAGUUUCGGCGGCCGGAUAAAGGCUCUGGGAAUGUGGCCUCC
rnacentral:rRNA from 1 species